rnacentral:rRNA from 1 species
GUGCCAGCAGCCGCGGUAAUACGUAGGUGGCAAGCGUUGUCCGGGAAUUUAUUGGGCGUAAAGGGCUCGCAGGCGGUUUCUUAAGUCUGAUGUGAAAGCCCCCGGCUCAACCGGGGAGGGUCAUUGGAAACUGGGAAACUUGAGUGCAGAAGAGGAGAGUGGAAUUCCACGUGUAGCGGUGAAAUGCGUAGAGAUGUGGAGGAACACCAGUGGCGAAGGCGACUCUCUGGUCUGUAACUGACGCUGAGGAGCGAAAGCGUGGGGAGCGAACAGGAUUAGAUACCCUGGUAGUCC